UUCUUAAUUAAGAGGCAACUCUUAACUGGCCAUUUAAGGAAAAACCGAGAGGUUCAAGCUUAAAGGGCAGAAAGGUGGACCUAGUAGCGCUAGAAUAGUUCACCGAUAUGGCUUGGCGGUAGCGCCUAAAACGACGAGCCAA
ncrna:unclassified sequences IMES-2 RNA motif